GAUCAUGAUAACUAGUCGAAUCGACAGGCCUUGUGCCGGCGAUGGCUCAUUCAAAUUUCUUCCCUAUCAACUUUCGAUGUUUGGGUAUUGGCCAAACAUGGUGGCAACGGGUAACGGAGGGUUAGGGCUCGACCCCGGAGAAGGAGUCUGAGAAACGGCUACUACAUCCAAGGAAGGCAGCAGGCGCGCAAAUUACCCAAUCCCGACACGGGGAGGUAGUGACAAUAAAUACUGAUACAGGGCUCUUUUGGGUCUUGUAAUCGGAAUGAGUACAAUUUAAAUCCCUUAACGAGGAACAAUUGGAGGGCAAGUCUGGUGCCAGCAGCCGCGGUAAUUCCAGCUCCAAUAGCGUAUAUUAAAGUUGUUGUGGUUAAAAAGCUCGUAGUUGAACCUUGGGCCUGGCUGGCCGGUCCGCCUCACCGCGUGCACUGGUCCGGCCGGGCCUUUCCCUCUGCGGAACCCCAUGCCCUUCACUGGGUGUGGCGGGGAACCAGGACUUUUAC
rnacentral:rRNA from 1 species